UCCAGUUUAUCCUGCUGGCGGCUGCGGCUAUUUGGUUCGUGCUUAGGUAUGCAAGUCUAUCGAAAGAUGGCGAACUGCUCAGUAACACGUAGCUAACCUACCCUUAAGUCAGAAAUACCCUCGGGAAACUGAGGAUAAUGUCUGAUAGGGCAUGAUUACUGGAAUGUAUUAUGCUUGAAACUCGUGCUUAAGGAUGGGGCUGCGGCUGAUUAGGUAGUUGUUGGGGUAAUGGCUCAACAAGCCGAUAAUCAGUAAGGGCUCUUAGCGGAGAUGCCCUGAGAAGGACUCUUAGACACUAGUCCUAGCCCUACGGGGUGCAGCAACUAAGGAUUUUUUGCAAUGCGCGCAAGCGUGACAAAGCGAGCCAAAGUGUUUUCUCAUAUUGAGAAAACUUUUGUUUGCUCUAAAAAGGCAGACGAAUAAGGACUGGGCAAGACCGGUGCCAGCCGCCGCGGUAAUCCCGGCGGUCCAAGUCGCAGCCACAAGUAUUGGGUCUAAAACAUCCGUAGCUUGCUGGAUAAGUUUCUUGUGAAAUCCUAACUCUUAAAGUUAGGGCGUGCAGGAAAUACUAUUCAGCUUGAGACCGGAAGAUGUAAGGAGUAUUGUUGGGGAAGUGGUAAAAUACGUUAAUCUCAACAAGACUAACAACGGCGAAGGCACCUUACAAGGACGGAUCUGACAGUGAGGGAUGAAGGCUAGGGGCGCAAAAUGGAUUAGAUACCCAUGUAGUCCUAGCAGUAAACACUGCACACUAAACAUUGGCUUCUCCUCGAGAGAAGUCAGUGCUGUAGGGAAGCCGAAGAGUGUGCUACCUGGGAAGUAUAGUCGCAAGGCCGAAACUUAAAGGANNNNNNNNNNNNNNNNNNNAACAGGUGACGCGUGCGGUUCAAUUAGAUUCUACACCGUGAACCUCACCAGGACCGACAGCAGAAUGAAGGUCAGUCUAAAGGGCUUACCUGACAGGCUAAGAGGAGUUGCAUGGCCGACGUCAGCCUGUGUCGUGAGAUGACCUGUUAAAUCAGGUAACAGGCGAGACCCACGUGCAUAGUUGCUACGUAAAGAGCACUCUAUGCAGACCGCUCCUGCAAAGGAGAGGAAGGUGUGGGCUACGUUAGGUGAGUACGGCCCGAAUGCCCUGGGCUACACGCGCGCGGCAAUGCUGUAUACAGUGAGAUGCAACUCUGAAAAGAGAAGCUAAUCCCAUAAAGUACAGCUUAGUUCAAAUUGUAGGUUGAAACUUACCUACAUGACGCUGGAAUCUGUAGUAAUCGUUCAUCAUCAGUGAACGGUGAAUAUGUCCCUGCUCCUUGCACUCACCGCCCGUCAAACCAACCGAGUUAUGCUUAGAUGAAGCUGAAGAAGAAUCUUUGUAUGACAAGGUAGGUUAAGUCGUCACAAGGUAUCCGUAGGGGAACCUGCGGAUG
rnacentral:rRNA from 1 species